AUUCCUUGUUGUACAAGCGCAGCUGCAUAGCUACCUUAGCUUUUCUACUGUACCAUGGUACAUGGUACUGACGUACUGUACUGCACCGUACUGCACUGGGCUCUGCAAUAAAAUGUUGGAAGGACUGGCAAGAAAGUUUGGAUUGGGCUUGGCUGUAUUCACUAUUCUACCAUGGCUGCUCAUUGUGAUUGGAUUUGGAUGGUUCACAACUGACCUCGGUUUAGGGCCGGUGGGGUUCUCCUUUUGGUUCAUCUCCCUAAUGGGUAUUCCAAUCAUUGUGCUGGAAGCUGUUAAUGCUGUUAUCAGUGCACGAUCUGCAGGUAGGAUCCUCAGGACCAUUACGAGCGUUCUAAGUGUCCUGUUCCUUUUCUGUCUGUGGAUAGUGCUGUUGUAUAUACAGAUAGCAGACAGAGCUGACUUCCCGGGGCAUCAAGUAAACUUGUUGUAUUCGGGAGCACUAUUUACCACUCUGUCCUGGACUGUUAUGAUGUUGACAGAGACCUUCUACCAUAAUGAAAUGCCCGAGAAAGCAUCACAAACAUAUUAACAGUCUACACUUACAGUACACUUAUAGCCAGUCAAUAUCAAACAGUCACUGUGACUUAAUUGAUUCUUAACAC